UAAGUCUAAAACAUCCUCAUUUAUUAUUAGAAGUAUAUAACAACAGAACUGUAUAUCAUUUGGCUUUGGAUUUUUAAUGUUUUUCAUUCAUUUUCAGUCUAAAGCUCCAGACACUUCUUUUUCGAUUAAUCAGAGACUCGCUCAAGACAAACAUCUCUUAAUUGCAUAUCAUUCAGCUUAUGAUAACCCUUCAAAUGCUGAAACUGCAUUAGGAAUAAAAGCACUCCAGAUCCAUCGAGUGCGGAUCCCAUCAAAGACAGGACGAUGCCACGCCCCCAGCCAACCCGUCCGGAGGCGCCAAAUGCAAGUGUCAAAAACUUAAUUAAAAACGCGUUGCUCGAGCUGCUCGGCGGCCAAAGUGGCCUGGCAAACAAACUUGGGUGCCAGCUACAUCUACUUGCACUUCUGCUGCAACUGCAACUACAUCCACAUCCACGGCAGCCACUUAAUUAGACGUUAAACACUUGUAAAGCGCUCAGCGAUAAUGGAUGCGUGAGAGGAGCGAGUCCUUAAGGACACGGAGUUUGGGUAAUUCGCCUGGCGUCGAGAACAAUUAAGCAGGAGCUUACAAAAUUAUUAGACAAUUUGUAAGACUUCAUCUGAUUCGGCUGAUUGAUGAAGAGCUCAAUAGGUACACUAAUUGUGAUCAUGCUAGGUGGAAUUUAAUAUCUGCCUCCAUGGAAAAUAUGUAAGUUUUGUUUUUAGGAAUCAGAGUAAGAUGUUAUAGAAAACGGCCACCAUGACGGGAAAGCGUAACUAAAUGAAAUCAUUGCCCAUUUCAUGAGAUUCCCUCUGGCAUAUGAAAUCAUUUUUAACAUCAUCUGUGUAUUUAGCAAAUUAAUUACUGUAGAUGCGAUGUGGAUGUGCGGAUGGUGAAGUGUAGAAUAGCAGACCAAAGAUAGUUACUCGGUUACCAUACGCCAAUCUUGGUCUAGUUAUUUCACAGCGACGAGGAGGGGGUAGCAACCAGCUAACCAUAAAUACGGGGGACUUUCAGUGCCGCCGCCGUUGGAGGCAUUAGAAUCAACGAUACCCGGGUGCUGCUGGGGAGCUGCCAAAGUGAAAUCGUGUAAAUUGGACCACACAGACACCAGUAACAAGCCCGUCCAGGCCGACCGGGUUAGGACCCAGCCAGCACCACGUUUUGGCCUGGCCAAAACAUCAACUCAGAUGCUCCAUGCGGGACACACAAGAUUACUUUCAUCUCGAACAUUUGCCGCAGAAGGCAAACCAUCCGCAGCCUUUGGUAGACCCACAAUCACUUUCACUGCCCGAUUCCACCCAAUUCCACCCGAAUCCUCCACAUGGCCCGCAAAUCCCAGCCCAGGCACACAGAUUCGCCGGCAGUUGGGGAAGAAAUCCUUGUAAGGUUCAAACAUUUUGGUUUCGUUGGCUUUGCUCUGCUAGUUACCCGAAAUUCUACUGCAAAUUACACAAAAAUUAAAUGCAUGAAUAAUUCGAAUGGUUGCUGUGGUCAACAGCCCGAGACCCGUAGGCGUGGCACCGCCCUGGCCAUGGCCCCUCCCAAACUAAUCAUACAAAAGGACCAGAAGGACCUCAAAGGACGCAGGGAAGUGUGGGGGAAUUGGGUUAGCUGCUUUGUAUUUACACUGCAUUUUAUCGCUUUAACACUCUGACACAAUGAAUAUAAAUAUUUGGACAGCAAAAACAGCAGCAACGGCAUGUCCUGGUCCUGCAGGACAUGGGCUUCAGCUCGUCCGUGUGGGCGAGUGUGUGGACUUGACCGGCGCAUAAAUUUUAAUAUCCAAUGAAAUAAAAUGCCGAACGUCAACUUUGAAAUUGUACGUGAAUAUGAUCUGACCAAUUUUAUGUCCGCCUAACAGGUCAGUUUUUCCGCAAAAGUGCUUAUGACAUAUCGAUUUAUCGAUCGAGGAGCAAAUACCUUGUUCGGCUAUU
rnacentral:sRNA from 1 species